UCUUGCUAUGUUGCUCAGGCUGGAUCAGUGCAGUAGCACAAUCUCGGCUCAGUGCAGUGGCACAAUCUCGGCUCACUGCAACCUCUGCCUCCUGGGUUCAAGUGAUUCUCCUGUCUCAGCCUCCCAAGUAGCUGGGAUUACAGGUGCCCGCCACCACGCCUGGCUAAUUUUUAUAUUUUGAGUAGAGGCGGGGUUUCACCACGUUGGCCAGGCUGGUCUCGAACUCCUGACCUUAAGUGAUCUGCCCGUCUUGGCCUCCCAGAGUGCUGGGAUUACAGGUGUGCGCAGGAAGAAAAUUUCAAUGGACGAGGUAGUCAACAAAAUGAAGUCAAGAAAAUAUGUAAGACUCAGAAAUACUCUAACUGUUGACCUAAGAACAGCUGAGUAUGGGUGCCAACACCUGGUGCAAUGGGUAGUGUGGAUGAGAGGUAACAAAAUAUUAAAAGCUAUUUUUUUAAAUGAAGUUUAACUCCAGAGAUUGAAUUGUAGUUAGACAAAUAGGAGAGGCAUUAGCAUGUUAAGAGGAGCUCAGUGGAGAAAUGGGUUGAAGAUGGAGAUGACCGGUAUACCAGUCUCAAGGUUGUAACAAGAUAGUAUCAACAAUAGCACAGGAGGGGCGGGGCACAGUGGCUCAUGCCUGUAAUUCCAGCACUUUGGGAGGAUGAAGUGGUUUGAGAGAACAAGUAAAAGGAAAAGUAUGUGUUUCCUAAAAUCUAAAGAUUUCAUUAAGUUUAUAUCCUCCUGGUUUUAGUGUAAUUUUCCCACUGAAAAUGUCCAACUUUGAUGCUUUGGAAAAUAGAAAGCAAUCUCAUUGCAAUUCAGCUAAAAAUAAAAAGCUUUGGGAAGAAAAAUAAGGAAUUACAUAUAAAAAAUUAAAACAUUCUCAUAUAACAGCUUAGUAUAUACAUAUUUUUUAUAUGACUGACCUUACAAUUUAGUACCAAGUAAGCAACCUAAUGGAGGUUUACACAAAAUAUUCAGGAAAAUCUGAGGAGGCAUCUAACCAUGCUGCAGGUGGAAAAAUGUAGCUGCCUAAAUGGAGGUAGAAAUGGAAAAUAAAGACUAUUAUCAAGAAAGACCUGCACUCUUGUAGAAUUGGGAAGUUUUUUCCUAAUCCUAAAUGGGGUCAGCUCCCAGAGAUAAUGGGCAUUGUGUUGAGCAGGUGGGGAAGAGUAGCUAAAUAAGAGCCAAAAGGUACCCAAGGAGUACCCCUGUGAAGAUUUGGGAGUGAGCACCAAAAGAAGAACAAGAAUGACUGGGAAAUAACAGAAAAUGGCACAUAGGCAGAAAGGAGUACAGACUGUCACCAAUAUCCACUUCGUUUUUUGUUUUUGCCUGGGGUUGGCCCUGCUCCCUUCUCUGAAACAAGAUAUAAAAAGCUGAUUUAUGAUAUCCUGCUUUAUCACCCCACUUUAGAAAAACUGAGGUAGAAGUGGAGGACUAGUCAUAUUUACUAACUGGAAUCAUACCUUCCUUCCUACUCACAAAAGGUUCCAGUUCUCUAGAAUACUGAGAUGACCACUCCAGGAUGUAUUCUGAACCCUGUUUCACUUAAGAAACUUCUUCCAGGCUGGGCGCGGUGGCUCACGCUUGUAAUCCCAGCACUUUGGGAAGACGAGGCGGGCGGAUCACAAGGUCAGGAGAUCGAGACCACGGUGAAACCCCGUCUCUACUAAAAAUAAAAAAAUUAGCUGGACGUGGUGGUGGGCGC
rnacentral:lncRNA from 1 species